rfam:Triticum aestivum genome assembly, contig: Triticum_aestivum_CS42_TGACv1_scaffold_456650_5DS
AAGGUACUUCCUCCGUUCGGAAUUACUUGUCUAAAAAAUGAAUGUAUCUAGAUGUAUUUUAGUUGUAGAUACACUCAUUUUUGUGACAUGUAAUUUCGAACGGAGGGAGGAGGUU